GAUGAACGCUAGCGGCAGGCUUAAUACAUGCAAGUCGAACGGGAAUUGGGUAGCAAUACCUGAUGAUAGUGGCGCACGGGUGCGUAACGCGUAUGCAACCUACCUUUAACAGGGGGAUAGCCCGGAGAAAUUCGGAUUAAUACCCCAUAGUAUUAUGGAGAGGCAUCUUUUCAUGAUUAAAGUUCCGGCGGUUAAAGAUGGGCAUGCGUGCCAUUAGCUAGUUGGUGAGGUAACGGCUCACCAAGGCGACGAUGGUUAGGGGUCCUGAGAGGGUUAUCCCCCACACUGGUACUGAGACACGGACCAGACUCCUACGGGAGGCAGCAGUAAGGAAUAUUGGUCAAUGGGCGGAAGCCUGAGCCAGCCAUGCCGCGUGCAGGAAGACGGCCUUAUGGGUUGUAAACUGCUUUUGUCAGGGAAUAAACCCUCGUUUGCGAACGAGGCUGAAGGUACCUGAAGAAUAAGCAUCGGCUAACUCCGUG
rnacentral:rRNA from 1 species